AAAACUUAAUAUGCAAAUUAAAACUAUAGUUGAACAGCAAGAUAUAGUGUAUCCACUAUAUUCCUGUGGAAGUCAGGCCUAGACUCCCUUAAGAUGAAAUGAAUAAAACACUUGAGCUAAUUUAAACCAAUUGUUAAAGGGACACUAUAGUCACCAGAACAACUAUAGCUUAAUGUACUUGUUCUGGUGAGUAUAAACAUUGCCUUUUACCUUUUCGGAGAGGGGAAAAAAAAAGUUUGCAUUUUCAGAGAAAAGGCAGUAUUUACAUUGCCCCUAGGGACACCUCCAGAUGGCCACUGGCGGUGCUUCCUGAAGCAGUGUUGGACAGUAGGCAUGGGGGUGCUGAAUUUUCCUCAGAUGCAUUGAUUCAAUACCUCUCUAUGAGGAGGUGCUGAUUGGCCAAAACGGUGUUUGGCCCUGCCCCUUGCCAAUUUUAGCCAAUCCUUGUCAAAGCAUUGGAUUGGCUAAAAAUUGGCAAUUCUGAUGUCACCAAAGGGAGUGGGGCCAGUGUCAACAGAUACAUGCAGCACUUGAAAUAAGCGGAGUUUUUUAAUUGCUUGGAAAUGGGGUGGGGAGGCGGCAAGAUACCAAAAUGGUGGGUUUAGCACUAUAGGGUCAUGAAUACAUGUUUAUGUUCCUGACCCUACAGUGCUCCUUUUAAUUCUUUUUAUGCUGGUAAGUGAUUUUAAGGCUUCUAGUUUAUAUUGGUGGAUAAGCUUUCUAUAUUUCCACACAAAAAAAGUUCUGGCCUAUGCAACUUGAAUGGUGCAAAUUGUGGUGGCUUGGUUACAUACUUUCUCAUUGUUGUGCAAUUAUACAUUUGUUUAAUGCAAUUUCUUUGUGUUUCUCUCAUCUAAAAUCCG